rnacentral:rRNA from 1 species
UACGUAGGGGGCAAGCGUUGUCCGGAUUCAUUGGGCGUAAAGAGCGUGUAGGCGGCCAGGUAGGUCGGUUGUGAAAACUGGAGGCUCAACCUUCAGAGGUCGACCGAAACCAUCUGGCUAGAGUCCGGGAGAGGAGAGUGGAAUUCCUGGUGUAGCGGUAAAAUGCGCAGAUAUCAGGAAGAACACCCGUGGCGAAAGCGGCUCUCUGGAACGGUACUGACGCUGAGACGCGAAAGCGUGGGGAGCGAACAGG